rnacentral:rRNA from 1 species
UACGAAGGGGGCUAGCGUUGCUCGGAAUCACUGGGCGUAAAGCGCGCGUAGGCGGCUUUGCAAGUCGGGUGUGAAAGCCCUCAGCUCAACUGAGGAAGUGCGCCCGAAACUGCAGAGCUUGAGUGCCGGAGAGGGUGGCGGGAAUUCCCCGAAGUAGAGGUGAAAAUUCGUAGAUAUGGGGAGGAACACCGGUGGCGAAGGCGGCCACCUGGACGGUAACUGACGCUGAGGCGCGAAAGCGUGGGGAGCAAACAGG